CACCCAUGAGACGCAAGUAACCUGACUGGUGGGAUGGCUUGUGCCUGCACCAUCGACCGACCAUGAUCUUCUGUGAAAGGUUUGAGUACGAGCAUACCUGUUGGGACCCGAAAGAUGGUGAACUAUGCCUGAGCAGGGCGAAGCCAGAGGAAACUCUGGUGGAGGCUCGUAGAUGUGCUGACGUGCAAAUCGCUUUUCGGACUUGGGUAUAGGGGCGAAAGACUAAUCGAACCAUCUAGUAGCUGGUUCCCUCCGAAGUUUCCCCCAGGAUAGCUGGAGCUUGAUCAGUUUUAUCAGGUAAAGCGAAUGAUUAGAGGUACCGGGGAUGAAACAUCCUCGACCUAUUCUCAAACUUUAAAUAGGUAAGACGUCUGGGUUGCUUAAUUGAACCCAGGCAUUCAAUGAGAGCUCCAAGUGGGCCAUUUUUGGUAAGCAGAACUGGCGAUGCGGGAUGAACCGAAA
rnacentral:rRNA from 1 species